UUGUGUCACUAGACUUUGACCAGAUAUUAUUGCAUCCAAAGAUCAACUGUACCUAGAACAUAGAUACAGAGACACUUGUCAUCAGGAAGGUGCUCUCUCAGCACAACGGAAAAUAUCUCAAUGACUUGACAUGUUCUGGUUGUGAAUUCAGGCUACAAGUCCAAUCAAGCAGAAGAGAACAGCCUCCCCUGUUCCCAGCUGUGUGUCCAUGAAGAGUGACAAGUCUAUGGAACCUCCUAUAUACUUUAGAGAGGGAGACUUUUCUACUGAACAAAGAAACCAACAGGAGAGAUCAGAGU